UGAUCAUGGCUCAGAACGAACGCUGGCGGCAGGCUUAACACAUGCAAGUUGAACGUGAUUUGUUGGGUGCUUGCACCGAGCAAUGAAAGUAGCGCACUGGUGAGUAACACGUGGGAACGUACCUUUUGGUGGGGAACAACAGUUGGAAACGACUGCUAAUACCGCAUAAGCCCUGAGGGGGAAAGAUUUAUCGCCGAAAGAACGGCCCGCGGAAGAUUAGGUAGUUGGUGGGGUAACGGCCUACCAAGCCGACGAUCUA
rnacentral:rRNA from 1 species